rnacentral:rRNA from 1 species
AUUAAACGCUGGCGGCAUGCCUUACACAUGCAAGUCGAACGGCAGCACGGGGGCAACCCUGGUGGCGAGUGGCGGACGGGUGAGUAAAGCAUCGGAACGUAUCCUGGAGUGGGGGAUAACGUAGCGAAAGUUACGCUAAUACCGCAUAUUCUGUGAGCAGGAAAGCAGGGGAUCGCAAGACCUUGCGCUCUGGGAGCGGCCGAUGUCGGAUUAGCUAGUUGGUGGGGUAAAGGCCUACCAAGGCGACGAUCCGUAGCGGGUCUGAGAGGAUGAUCCGCCACACUGGGACUGAGACACGGCCCAGACUCCUACGGGAGGCAGCAGUGGGGAAUUUUGGACAAUGGGCGGAAGCCUGAUCCAGCCAUGCCGCGUGAGUGAAGAAGGCCUCGGUUGUAAGAC